rnacentral:rRNA from 1 species
CCUACGGGUGGCAGCAGUGGGGAAUAUUGGACAAUGGGCGAAAGCCUGAUCCAGCCAUGCCGCGUGUGUGAAGAAGGCCUUCGGGUUGUAAAGCACUUUCAGUGAGGAAGAAAGCCUUGGGGCUAAUACCCUCGAGGAAGGACAUCACCCACAGAAGAAGCACCGGCUAACUCCGUGCCAGCAGCCGCGGUAAUACGGAGGGUGCGAGCGUUAAUCGGAAUUACUGGGCGUAAAGCGCGCGUAGGCGGUCUGAUAAGCCGGUUGUGAAAGCCCCGGGCUCAACCUGGGAACGGCAUCCGGAACUGUCAGGCUAGAGUGCAGGAGAGGAAGGUAGAAUUCCCGGUGUAGCGGUGAAAUGCGUAGAGAUCGGGAGGAAUACCAGUGGCGAAGGCGGCCUUCUGGACUGACACUGACGCUGAGGUGCGAAAGCGUGGGUAGCAAACAGGAUUAGAUACCCCAGUAGUC